rnacentral:rRNA from 1 species
UACGAAGGGGGCUAGCGUUGCUCGGAAUCACUGGGCGUAAAGGGCUCGUAGGCGGCCAACUAAGUCACACGUGAAAUCCCUCGGCUCAACCGGGGAACUGCGUGUGAGACUGGAUGGCUUGAGUUUGGGAGAGGAAUGCGGAAUUCCAGGUGUAGCGGUGAAAUGCGUAGAUAUCUGGAGGAACACCGGUGGCGAAGGCGGCAUUCUGGACCAACACUGACGCUGAGGAGCGAAAGCCAGGGGAGCAAACGGG